rnacentral:rRNA from 1 species
GUAACACGUAGUCAAUCUACCCUAUGGACGGGGAUAACCUCGGGAAACUGAGAAUAAUACCCGAUAGAUCAUUAUACCUGGAAUGGUUUAUGGUUCAAAUGAUUUUUCGCCGUAGGAUGGGACUGCGGUCUAUCAGCUUGUUGGUGAGGUAAUGGCCCACCAAGGCUAUAACAGAUACGGGCUCUGAGAGGAGAAGCCCGGAGAUGGGUACUGAGACACGGACCCAGGCCCUAUGGGGCGCAGCAGGCGAGAAAACUUUGCAAUGUGCGAAAGCACGACAAGGUUAAUCCGAGUGUUUUCUGCUAAAGAAAUCUUUUGUUAGUUUUAAAACCACUAUCGAAUAAGGGGUGGGCAAGUUCUGGUGUCAGCCGCCGCGGUAAAACCAGCACCUCAAGUGGUCAGGAGGAUUAUUGGGCCUAAAGCAUCCGUAGCCGGCUAUGUUAGUUUUCGAUUAAAUCCAUGUGCUCAACAUAUGGGCUGCCGAGAAUACUGCAUAGCUAGGGAGUGGGAGAGGUAGACGGUACUCGAUAGGAAGGGGUAAAAUCCUUUGAUCUAUUGAUGACCACCAGUGGCGAAGGCGGUCUACCAGAACACGUCCGACGGUGAGGGAUGAAAGCUGGGGGAGCAAACCGGAUUAGAUACCCGGGUAGUCCCAGCUGUAAACUAUGUAAACUCAGUGAUGCAUUGGCUUGUGGCCAAUGCAGUGCCGCAGAGAAGUCGUUAAGUUUGCCGCCUGGGAAGUACGUACGCAAGUAUGAAACUUAAAGGAAUUGGCGGGGGAGCACCACAAGGGGUGAAGCCUGCGGUUCAAUUGGAGUCAACGCCAGAAAUCUUACCCGGAGAGACAGCAGAAUGAAGGUCAAGCUGAAGACUUUACCAGACAAGCUGAGAAGUGGUGCAUGGCCGUCGCCAGCUCGUGCCGUGAGAUGUCCUGUUAAGUCAGGUAACGAGCGAGAUCCCUGCCUCUAGUUGCCACCAUUACUCUCAGGAGUAGUGGGGCGAAUUAGCGGGACUGCCGCAGUUAAUGCGGAGGAAGGAGGGGGCCACGGCAGGUCAGUAUGCCCUGAAACUCUGGGGCCACACGCGGGCUGCAAUGGUAGUG